GUCUCUGAGCACAAAGGGAGAUGGGGCGAAGCCUGUAGCUCCACGCCUUCACCUUGGCUUCCGGGGACUUGUUGACAGAAUGGCCGUGCAAACAGCCUGUGGACAACGAAGUGGCCUCCCUCUUAAGAUGCUCAGAACAGCAAGGUAUUGAUCCCAGAUGAAUCUCUCGAAGUAUCCUUUACUGCCCUUCCAAGACCCUCCAUUCCCUGGAGCAUAGUGAGGUGGCUCUCCUCGUCAGCAUCUUCCUGGGAUGGGCAUCAAGAACAGGACUUAAAGGAAAUAUCAUUGCUAAGACACUCUUCCACAAAAACAGCGCCCUCUGGAUCCGCACCCCACCCCCCCACCUCCGGCUUCAUCCUGCUUCUUUCCCUCACGAGCACAGCAAAUGAGAGAGGCAGGAGGACUGACACAAGGCAAGGGGCAGUGCGUGAGUCCUCCCCUUCCCUCUCCAGGAGGCCAUGCCCCGUAGCAGGUGCUGGCUAAGCCCCUUCACUUCCCAUCUGGCUCACUGCCCCCUACUCAGAGGAAGAGGAAUACACAGCUCUAAGGGUCCGUCGAGGUAAAUGUCCUUCACACAUUCUCUCUGAGUUUGCCAACAUGCUUCCUGUAGAUGAAGUACUGUCUGGUAGCUUUGCAGGGAGUUUUGAAAACUCUAGAAACUCAGAGGAAUUUCCCGAAGCCUUACCACACUUGCCCGGAUCAUCAUGUUGACACCUCUGAGAAGCCAGGAUGAGGGCGUCUCCAGCCUGAAGAAAUGGAGUGCAAACACUGUGAGUCAUGCUUACGUUGUUAAGGAUGGUUCUUAACCACUUGGAUUUCUUCUAGGGCCAGGGUCACUUUUUGCAGGUGCCAUAAAUCUAAGCUAAUAUAC
rnacentral:lncRNA from 1 species